CUUAACCCUCUCCUCGCAGUUCCGCCUCCCAGGGACUCAACCAUUGCUGUUGCAAUUGGCGCAUCAGUUGGUGGAGCACUGGCUCUGCUGAUCCUUUCCAUGGUUGUAGUGAAAUGUCUCCGUCGACACAGGAAACAGGAACUGAUUUCAGAGGAAAAGAUGGAGGAGGAAGGAAAACUGGAGACUGAGGGUGUUACAGAGGAAGGAACCAAACAACCAUAGCGGGGUCAUAAGAAAGCCAAUGGCCUGAGGAGCUCUCACCUUUGUCUGACCUGUGUGACUCCUUCCUGAAGAUCUUGUAGCCACUGCUUGAUACAUCGAGUGAUUUUACUAAACACCUUCUGCAUGUGUG